CAAUGUUGUAGGGUCCAUGUGAGUUAGGGUGAGCAUCGGUCGGUUACGAUUAAUAACCGACUGAUAACAGAAGACAUUUUUUAAAUCUUCAUAACUGACCGAAACCGACCGA